rnacentral:rRNA from 1 species
ACUCCUGGCUCAAGAACAACGCUGGCGGCAUGCCUAACACAUGCAAGUCGAACGAGACCUUCGGGUCUAGUGGCGCACGGGUGCGUAACGCGUGGGAACCUGCCUUUAGGUUCGGAAUAACUCAGAGAAAUUUGAGCUAAUACCGGAUAAUGUCUUCGGACCAAAGAUUUAUCGCCUUUAGAUGGGCCCGCGUUGGAUUAGCUAGUUGGUGGGGUAAAGGCCUACCAAGGCGACGAUCCAUAGCUGGUCUGAGAGGAUGAUCAGCCACACUGGGACUGAGACACGGCCCAGACUCCUACGGGAGGCAGCAGUGGGGAAUAUUGGACAAUGGGCGAAAGCCUGAUCCAGCAAUGCCGCGUGAGUGAUGAAGGCCUUAGGGUUGUAAAGCUCUUUUACCCGAGAUGAUAAUGACAGUAUCGGGAGAAUAAGCUCCGGCUAACUCCGUG